GGUAUUUCUCCAGAGGCUCUGUCAGCAGCAUAUCUCCAAAUAUGGUUCGGCAGUACUCAGCCAUCUUUGCCUGCUGCUUGGGCGAGUCCACAUGGUUCUCAAAGGAGAGGAUGACAGGGUAAAGGGAUGUUUUGAAAGCACUUUCUGCAAUGGCCUCAAUGGCAUCCUGAAGGAGGGAACAUCACAGAGACCAGCACUCGUUAGUAACAGAUCUGAUCUCCC
rnacentral:lncRNA from 1 species